AUUGAACGCUGGCGGCAGGCCUAACACAUGCAAGUCGAACGAGUGGCGGACGGGUGAGUAAUGCCUGGGAAACUGCCCGAUGGAGGGGGAUAACUACUGGAAACUGUAGCUAAUACCGCAUACCAUAGGAUGAGCCCAAGUGGGAUUAUGUAGUUGGUGAGGUAAAGGCUAACCAAGCCGACAAUCUCUAGCUGGUCUGAGAGGAUGACCACCCAAACUGGGACUGAGACAUGGCCCAGACUCCUAAGGGAGGCAGCAGUGGUGAAUAUUGCGCAAUGGGGGCAACCCUGACGCAGCCAAGCCGCGUGAAUGAAGAAGGCCUUCGGGUUGUAAAGUUCUUUCGGUAGCGAGGCGUUAACUACAGAAGAAGCACCGGCUAACUCCGUGCCAGCAGCCGCGGUAAUUC
rnacentral:rRNA from 1 species